rnacentral:rRNA from 1 species
AAGCGGAGGAAAAGAAACCAACAGGGAUUGCCUCAGUAACGGCGAGUGAAGCGGCAACAGCUCAAAUUUGAAAUCUGGCGCAAGCCCGAAUUGUAAUUUGCAGAGGAUGCCUUGGAGUUGUCCCGGUCUAAGUUCCUUGGAACAGGACGUCACAGAGGGUGAGAAUCCCGUACGUGGCCGGAUGACCUCUCCGUGUAAGGCUCCUUCGACGAGUCGAGUUGUUUGGGAAUGCAGCUCUAAAUGGGAGGUAUAUUUCUUCUAAAGCUAAAUACCGGCCAGAGACCGAUAGCGCACAAGUAGAGUGAUCGAAAGAUGAAAAGCACUUUGGAAAGAGAGUUAAAAAGUACGUGAAAUUGUUGAAAGGGAAGCGUUUGCGGCCAGACUUGAUGGCGGUUGCUCAGCCGGUCUUUUGCCCGGUGCACUCUUCCGCCAUCAGGCCAGCAUCAGUUCGGACAGGUGGAUAAAGGCGGCUGGAAUGUAGCUCCUCGGAGUAUUAUAGCCUACCGCACAAUACACCUCGGCCGGACUGAGGACAGCGUUCGCUAGGAUGCUGGCGUAAUGGCAGCCAACGGCCCGUCUUGAAACACGGACCAAGGAGUCUAGCACAUUUGCGAGUGUUUGGGUGUCAAACCCGUGCGCGCAAUGAAAGUGAACGGAGGUGGGAGCUUCGGCGCACCAUCGACCGAUCCUGAAGUUUACGGAAGGAUUUGAGUAAGAGCAUAUGUGCUGGGACCCGAAAGAUGAUGAACUAUGCCUAAAUAGACUGAAGCCGCCCGAAAGGGCGGUGGAAGGUCGCAGCGGUUCUGACGUGCAAAUCGAUCGUCAAAUUUGGGUAUAGGGGCGAAA